CUAGUCGAGUGCUCUUGCGCGGAUAAUGUACCGGGGCUAAGCAUAUUACCGAAACUGUGGAUGCGUAAGCAUGGUAGGAUAGCGUAAUUAACGCGAUGAAGGAUGACCGUAAGGACAUGUUGGAGCGUUAACUAGUGAGAAUUCCGGUAUGAGUAGCGAAAGAUAGGUGAGAAUCCUAUCCACCGAAUGAGUAAGGUUUCCCCCGGAAGGCUCGUCCGCGGGGGGUUAGUCGGGACCUAAGGCGAGGCUGAAAAGCGUAGUCGAUGGACAACAGGUUGAUAUUCCUGUACCGAUAUUUAAUUGCCGAAGGAAGGACGCAGAAGGAUAACACAGGCCACUAUUGGAUGUGGUUUUAAACAGUUAGUCUUCAUAAGAGUCAAAUGCUUUUAUGUUUAAGGAUAAGCUGUGAAUGUACCAAGUUUACUUGGAAAUUGUGUGAUUUCACGCUGCUGA
rnacentral:rRNA from 1 species